GAUGAGUUGCGAACGGGUGAGUAACGCGUAGGUAACCUGCCUUGUAGCGGGGGAUAACUAUUGGAAACGAUAGCUAAUACCGCAUAACAAUGGAUGACACAUGUCAUUUAUUUGAAAGGGGCAAUUGCUCCACUACAAGAUGGACCUGCGUUGUAUUAGCUAGUAGGUGAGGUAAUGGCUCACCUAGGCGACGAUACAUAGCCGACCUGAGAGGGUGAUCGGCCACACUGGGACUGAGACACGGCCCAGACUCCUACGGGAGGCAGCAGUAGGGAAUCUUCGGCAAUGGGGGCAACCCUGACCGAGCAACGCCGCGUGAGUGAAGAAGGUUUUCGGAUCGUAAAGCUCUGUUGUAAGUCAAGAACGGGUGUGAGAGUGGAAAGUUCACACUGUGACGGUAGCUUACCAGAAAGGGACGGCUAACUACGUGCCAGCAGCCGCGGUAAUACGUAGGUCCCGAGCGUUGUCCGGAUUUAUUGGGCGUAAAGCGAGCGCAGGCGGUUUGAUAAGUCUGAAGUUAAAGGCUGUGGCUCAACCAUAGUUCGCUUUGGAAACUGUCAAACUUGAGUGCAGAAGGGGAGAGUGGAAUUCCAUGUGUAGCGGUGAAAUGCGUAGAUAUAUGGAGGAACACCGGUGGCGAAAGCGGCUCUCUGGUCUGUAACUGACGCUGAGGCUCGAAAGCGUGGGGAGCGAACAGGAUUAGAUACCCUGGUAGUCCACGCCGUAAACGAUGAGUGCUAGGUGUUGGAUCCUUUCCGGGAUUCAGUGCCGCAGCUAACGCAUUAAGCACUCCGCCUGGGGAGUACGACCGCAAGGUUGAAACUCAAAGGAAUUGACGGGGGCCCGCACAAGCGGUGGAGCAUGUGGUUUAAUUCGAAGCAACGCGAAGAACCUUACCAGGUCUUGACAUCCCGAUGCUAUUUCUAGAGAUAGAAAGUUACUUCGGUACAUCGGUGACAGGUGGUGCAUGGUUGUCGUCAGCUCGUGUCGUGAGAUGUUGGGUUAAGUCCCGCAACGAGCGCAACCCCUAUUGUUAGUUGCCAUCAUUCAGUUGGGCACUCUAGCGAGACUGCCGGUAAUAAACCGGAGGAAGGUGGGGAUGACGUCAAAUCAUCAUGCCCCUUAUGACCUGGGCUACACACGUGCUACAAUGGUUGGUACAACGAGUUGCGAGUCGGUGACGGCGAGCUAAUCUCUUAAAGCCAAUCUCAGUUCGGAUUGUAGGCUGCAACUCGCCUACAUGAAGUCGGAAUCGCUAGUAAUCGCGGAUCAGCACGCCGCGGUGAAUACGUUCCCGGGCCUUGUACACACCGCCCGUCACACCACGAGAGUUUGUAACACCCGAAGUCGGUGAGGUAACCUUUUGGAGCCAGCCGCCUA
rnacentral:rRNA from 1 species